rnacentral:misc_RNA from 1 species
CGGCAUCAUCUCUUCAACAGAUCUCCCUGCUUCCAACUUGAAUCCAAUCGAUUUAACUCCCCAAAACCCUUGGCCCUCCCUGCAAUGUCCACCGAGGAUCCACAGUUGCAAAAUGGAGCCGAACCUGAACCUAUACCAGAACCAAAUUCCGUACCUGAGCCUGCGCGGUCAUCAGUGCCUGAACCACAGGAAACCUCGGAACCAGAACCUGAACCGGCAGCAGUGGCAGUAGUGGAUGCAGAUCCCAAUACAGAGGAACCGAGAGAUGCUUCGAUCCAAUCGAACGAAGUGGAUAAACCUCAAUCCAACGAGCAAGAUGCACGUCCCGAGCUGCGAAAAGACGAAGGGAGCAGAACUUUCACGAUGAGGGAAUUACUUAGUGAAUUGAAAAGCGAAGAAGGAGAGCAUUCCAGUGCUCCUCAAAGUCACCAAAGCACACCGCACUACCAAGCUGAGCAAAAUAGUGCAGCAAUGGAAUUGAUCAAUAGUGUUACAGGUGCUGAUGAGGAGGGUCGGUCACGCCAACGGAUUCUUACAUUUGCUGCCAA